AUUUACCAACAGAAGUAAUCAAAGCGCUGUAAGCGCUGAAGGCAGUUAACCAAAAACCAAGGCAACCGUAAUUAUGAAAACUGUGGCAAUGUUGCCUCAACAUUAAACAUUCAUAUAUAGUACAUUCAUGUUUAUCUAAUGAUUUAUUUAUUAAGGCAAAUAAUUUAUAUGUUAUCAAGGUUUCAAAAGCAAUGCAUAUAUCAAUGUAUAUUUUUUAUGGUGAGUCUGCAGUGGUACAAGUUCCCAAUGAUUGCAGUUGUUCUACUUGGUAGUUAACCUUGGUUUUAUUUGACUGCUAGAAGUUCAAUUUGACGUAGUAUGAACAUGUUAAUAGUAUGAAUGGACUGGUUUCCCUGGAAAGAAAACUGAGUUUGUGUUCUAUAGUACAAAAGUUAUGAGACACGAAUCAGACAAAUGUUCACUACAACAGGGAUCAAAGAUGAGGUCUGACUGACUUGCCCAUAGUAAAUGUAAAUGAUUUGUUAUUUUGUCCCAUACAUAUGAAUAUAUAUAAUUUAGGGGUGGGGAUCUCAACGGUUUUCAAGUUCUCAAACAGGUAGGGGUAGGCAGAGGAUUUAGGGGGCAGGGGGCCCGGCCCCCCCCCCUUUUUUGGAAAAAAUUUGGUUGCUUAUAUAGGGAAUCACUGGAGCGGGCCCCUCUUAGGUCAGUCAGUGGGCCCCACUUAUGAAAAUUUCUGGAUCCGCCACUGGGGGUAGGGUGACCCUAGGGACUUCCCCUACAUUUCAUUUUAUUUGUUAUAUUGUC
rnacentral:lncRNA from 1 species